ACUCUAAGCUCUCUUCGUUUGGUCACGCUUUGGUGCAGCUCUGUGGUGACUCCAGACCGUGCCCCGCUCCCGAAGCCCGGCCGGGGAAGGCUGCCGAGCGCAGAGUGAGCGCGGCAGCGGCCCCUGCCGGCCCCGCGCUCAGCUCCAGGCGACACCGCUCGCAAAACCUUGGAUUCUCCUCCAGGUCUUUAAACAGUCCUGUUCAGCCUUGGAACGAGCUAGGGGAAAAAAACCUUUACACCGCUUCAGUGCUAACACCAACUCUCAUUAAAGAUCUGCAAACUGAGAGAUGGCGAUAAUCCUACAUAUGAAGUUUUCCAGGAAGUCUGGGUUUCUUCCUCUUCCUCCACAUGCUGUGUUCCGUCCAUGCCUUGUUGGUGUAUGAGAAGGAGAACUAUGGGGACUUCUGAGGGAAUAAAAAGGAAAAAUACACCCUUGCACAUUAAAGUUCUCACUGGUAGUCUAAAAACUAAAUGCACUGGAUGUAACUUCUUGCUAUUUUAAUUGUAUUAAAAAACCUUUGAAAUUA